rnacentral:rRNA from 1 species
UACGUAGGGGGCAAGCGUUGUCCGGAAUCAUUGGCGUAAAGCGCGUGUAGGCGGCCCGAUAAGUCCGCUGUGAAAGUCCAGGGCUCAACCCUGGGAUGCCGGUGGAUACUGUCGGGCUCGAGUCCGGAAGAGGCGAGUGGAAUUCCUGGUGUAGCGGUGAAAUGCGCAGAUAUCAGGAGGAACACCAAUGGCGAAGGCAGCUCGCUGGGACGUGACUGACGCUGAGACGCGAAAGCGUGGGGAGCGAACAGG